rnacentral:rRNA from 1 species
UACGGAGGGUGCAAGCGUUAUCCGGAUUUACUGGGUUUAAAGGGUGUGUAGGCGGGUCUUUAAGUCAGUGGUGAAAUCUCCGGGCUCAACCUGGAAACUGCCAUUGAUACUAUUGAUCUUGAAUUUUGUUGAGGUAGGCGGAAUAAGUCAUGUAGCGGUGAAAUGCAUAGAUAUGACUUAGAACCCCGAUUGCGAAGGCAGCUUACUAAACAAAUAUUGACGCUGAGGCACGAAAGCGUGGGGAUCAAACAGG